rnacentral:rRNA from 1 species
UCAGUUUUGUAGCAAUACAAGGCUGAGCUAGUGGCGAACGGGUGCGUAACACGUGAGCAAUCUGCCUUAAAGUGGGGGAUAGCUCGCCGAAAGGCGAAUUAAUACCGCAUGUGGUUGCAAAACCAAAGCCGGGGGAACCUGGCGCUUGUAGAGGAGCUCGCGGCCUAUCAGCUUGUUGGUGAGGUAACGGCUCACCAAGGCCUCGACGGGUAGCUGGUCUGAGAGGACGACCAGCCACACUGGAACUGGGACACGGUCCAGACACCUACGGGUGGCAGCAGUCGAGAAUCUUUCUCAAUGGGGGAAACCCUGAAGGAGCGACGCCGCGUGGAGGAUGAAUGCUUUCGGGUUGUAAACUCCUGUCAUUUGGGAACAAAGCCUUACGUUAACUGCGUGGAGGUUUGAUAGUACCAGAAGAGGAAGAGACGGCUAACUCUGUGCCAGCAGCCGCGGUAAUACAGAGGUCUCAAGCGUUGUUCGGAUUCAUUGGGCGUAAAGGGCGCGUAGGCUGCGGGGUAAGUCGGGUGUGAAAUCUCAGAGCUCAACUCUGAAACUGCACUCGAUACUGCUCUGCUAGAGGACUGGAGAGGAGAUUGGAAUUCUCGGUGUAGCA